rnacentral:rRNA from 1 species
GCGAACGGGUGAGUAACACGUGAGUAACCUGCCCUUGACUCUGGGAUAAGCCUGGGAAACUGGGUCUAAUACCGGAUAUGACUGAUCAUCGCAUGGUGGUUGGUGGAAAGCUUUUGCGGUUUUGGAUGGACUCGCGGCCUAUCAGCUUGUUGGUGGGGUAAUGGCCUACCAAGGCGACGACGGGUAGCCGGCCUGAGAGGGUGACCGGCCACACUGGGACUGAGACACGGCCCAGACUCCUACGGGAGGCAGCAGUGGGGAAUAUUGCACAAUGGGCGGAAGCCUGAUGCAGCGACGCCSCGUGAGGGAUGACGGCCUUCGGGUUGGUAAACCUUCUUUCAGUAGGGAAGAAGCGUAAGUGACGGUACCUGCAGAA